GGGGGAUUAGCUCAGUUGGGAGAGCGAUUGCAUGGCAUGCAAUAGGUCAUCGGUUCAAGUCCGUUAUCCUCCA
rnacentral:tRNA from 1 species